GGCAGUUCUGAAGCAACCAAUAGUAGCCACAAUAACUUUGUCUUAAGUGUUUUUCUGUGCCAAACUGUUUUACCCUCAUUCUUGCUGACGCUCUUAUCAAUGCAAAGUAGUUGCUGUAUUCCUGCUUUUCAGCAGCUGCAAAGACACCAAGGACCCAGUUCCAUAGGCAGCGCUGCACAAACUCACUCUUGGCCUGCAGCCCACUUGCUGCAGUCUGACUGAGGCGGGACCACGUGCGUCUGUGUGCACUGCAUUCAGAUAUGGUAGUCCUGCUGUCAUGGCUCUUGAAAUGAAAGAUUUGGAAACGUUAUGAGAUAGAGCCUGGGCUACAUCCUCAACCAAGAUGUGCUCCUUUGUCCCUGUGGGUACACACACUGCUGCUCUCCCGUGGGCUGCCAUGGCUUUAUGAUUUUUGUUAUCGGUAUUCCACAUCAUAACAUUAUGUAGUGCACUGGGAUUUAAACAGUUAAUGCUCCAGUUCCAUGGAAUUACGAUAGUUCCAGGUACCUGUCUCAGAAGAGAAGAACUACAAAAUGAACUACAGCACCCAGAAGACUUUGCUGUUCCAUUUCCAUGUUCCAGUGGGUGGGAAAGAUAACAAUGACUGUGAGUCAUGAGGUGGCCUCUUUUUUUUUGCCUGCUUUCUCUCUUUUUCUGCUUGUCUCUGUGGUGCGUGCUCCCUAGCCAUCCCCCCUACAGCAUUACAGUAAGGCCUUCACUUUUUGAAUGCUCUCUCUCAUUUAUUCAAUUUAUUAGCUUCAAUUCCAGACAUAUUGUAUUGUAUUGUGUUAUCUCGCAUUCCACUAUCAUAUGAGUAAAUGAGUUCUUUCUCCCUUAGCUCUUUGCCUCUGUUUUAUUUUUAGGCCCACCUCCCUGCUUUUUUCAGGGCAGGCCAAGGGUGGGGGACGCGCGGCACCAGGGGGGUUGAGGGGAGAGGUCGAGCGGGCCCCGGCGGAGCCCCAGGGAUCGUUCCCUUUCUCUUCCCGUCGCAGCCGCCUUUCCCCGCGAGCAGUUCAGGUUCUGAGAAGACCGGAGCCGCCCUUAAGCCGGCAGGAGGCUUUCGCCGGCGCUGCCGACAGAAGCGGGUGGGAGCAAGAGCAGGAGCGGCGGCCGUCCCUGGAAGCUCCGCGGGCAGCGGCUCUCGACGGCCCUCCCGAACCCCCUUCGCAGCACUGCCCCCGCGCUCGUCCCGUCGCCCUCCGCACGCCGCUCUCGAGCCUCCCCAGCGCCGGGUGGUGGUGCUGUGAACAGCGGCGGCAGAGCUCUCGGCGAGGGCGCUGAGAAGCAGCCCGACUUUUCGCCUCCGAAGGGAGAAUGAAGAGCAGUGUUGCCGUUCCCGAGCAGAGUGCUGGCGUCGUGUCAUGCGUCAUCUGUAACCGUGAGGAAGCCGGAGGUCUGCUUUGAGAGAGGCACCGGGGCUGCAACGAGAGCACUUCCCAAGGCCCAUUAUGCCUGCGCUGUCCGAGCGCGGUUCCUGCGAUGAUCUCUGCCAGCUGGGCGCAGUCCCGGUAUGGCAGCCCGUGUCUCAGCUGGUGCCCACACCGCUCCGUUCAGCAACAGGAGCUCCAUGGGGACAAAGGGAACGGGAGGGCGCCUGGAAGGCCUCACCCAAGGGGCCCCGGAGUGCACGUGGCUGCAGCAGGGACCUUAGGUGGACGUGUUUGUAGUUGAAGCCAGGGACUUUUGUACCACGUCUUACACUAGCAGCCCCAAGGAGAUGAGUGUUCUUCCUCGGAAACAAAGGAAAUGUAAUCCAUUCUAUGAUGUUCUUCCUCUGAAAAAGGAAAUUGUGCUAUUUUACCAACAGCAUCAAAAUCGCAUUAAACGUCACCGGAACAGCUGUACUGUGUGACAAACCAUUUUCCUUGGUACAGGGGCAUGGCUGGAGGGGAGGGGGAGUUCCAAAGUGGGAGGCAGAUGGCUCAAACUGGCUAGGCGCAGCUGCAGUGGGGGAGGCAGAUGGUCCUCACUGGGGGGAAACUGAAUGUAGAGGGGACUGGAUUACUCAAAUUGGAGGGCACAGCUGAAAUGGGGGUGUAGGUGGUCUAAAUUGGGAAGCAGAGCUUGAUAUGCAGCGUGGGUAGAUGACCAAAACUAGGGGGACGCAGGUGCAUAUGGGGUUCGUCUUCAUUCAACACCCAAGCUGGAGGGGACCCACAGGGAUCACAGAUCGGCAGGGGUUGGAAGGAACUUCUGGAGACUGAGUGCAGCAUCCCUGCUAGAGAAGGUUCCCUACAGCAGGUUGCACAGCUAGGCAUCCAAAUGGGUUGGGAAUAUCUGCACAGGAGAUCACUCCACCUCUCUGGACCACCUGUUCCUGUGCUUUGUCACUCUGACAGGAAAGUUAUUCCUCGUGUUUGUAUGGAACUCCCUAUGCUCCAGUUUUCCCUGUUGCCCAUUGUUCUAUCGCUGCACACCACUGAAAAGAGUCUGCCCC
rnacentral:lncRNA from 1 species